AUGAAGCAGGAGGACUUGCAAAGAGAUUGAAGACUUCAUGAAAGCAAGGGCUUCAAUUGAGGAGAAAUAUGCAAAGGAGCUUCUCAGUUUAUCCAAGAAGGUGUGUGGACAUAACGAAAUGAACACUUUAAAGCGAUACCCAGAU